AGUGUUCUCCGUGGUGAUUUGGCCGGCCGGCUUGCAGCCACGUUAAAUAAGUCGCUAAAGGGCCGCGUGCGGACCGGU
rfam:Rhizobium yanglingense strain CCBAT 01603 genomic scaffold C601, whole genome shotgun sequence.